AGCGAAUUCACGAAACACACUUUGUAAACAGAUAUUUAUUGCCUGCAAGAUAAAUAGUCAAAAUACAUCAGAUUUAUUGAUGCCUUGAGAAUAUGGUAUUAUGGCAGUUUAGAAAGGAACUGUGAGCAAAAUCACUGCAGGAACUGACUGUGGAUUGGUCUGCGAGGAGAGUGGGAAAAGCAGAACCACAGGAAAUAUACAGAAGACAUAAUGUUUAGGAUAACAUGACUAAACCAGAUGCAGUGCAGCUUUUGUAGCAAACAGGUUCAACAGGAAUGUACAUCAAAUGCCUAAAAUUUAUUUAAAAUAAUAAAGAAAAGUAUUUUAUAAAGUAAGGGAGAAAGAAAUACUUUUGCAAUGAGGAGGGGGAUAAUCCAAUCUACUUCUGCAUUUUGUCAGGGAACUGCAGGAACUGUCCUCGUCCUGGCCUGUCCAGUCUGUAUAAAAGCUUGCCUCAGAUUUCCAUGAUUUUUUCAAUCCACGAUACUGCAGUCAGCAUGUAAGUAUACACUUAUCUGUUGUUCAUUUGUCAACUAUUUU
rnacentral:lncRNA from 1 species